rnacentral:rRNA from 1 species
GGAUGAGCCUGCGGCGCAUUAGCUAGUUGGCGGGGUAACGGCCCACCGUGGCUACGAUGUCUAGGGGUUCUGAGAGGAAGGUCCCCCACACUGGAACUGAGACACGGUCCAGACUCCUACGGGAGGCAGCAGUGAGGAAUAUUGGUCAAUGGGAGAGAUCCUGAACCAGCCAAGCCGCGUGAGGGAAGACGGCCCUAUGGGUUGUAAACCUCUUUUGUCGGAGAACAAAACCCGGGACGAGUCCCGGACUGCGUGUAUCCGAAGAAAAAGCAUCGGCUAACUCCGUGCCAGCAGCCGCGGUAAUACGGAGGAUGCGAGCGUUAUCCGGAUUUAUUGGGUUUAAAGGGUGCGUAGGCGGUCCGUUAAGUCAGCGGUAAAAUUGCGGGGCUCAACCCCGUCGAGCCGUUGAAACUGGCAGACUUGAGUUGGCGAGAAGUACGCGGAAUGCGCGGUGUAGCGGUGAAAUGCAUAGAUAUCGCGCAGAACUCCGAUUGCGAAGGCAGCGUACCGGCGCCAGACUGACGCUGAGGCACGAAAGCGUGGGGAUCGAACAGGAUUAGAUACCCUGGUAGUCCACGCAGUAAACGAUGAAUGCUGGUUGUCCGGG